GAUGAACGCUAGCUACAGGCUUAACACAUGCAAGUCGAGGGGAAACGAUAUUGGAAGCCUGCUUCCGAUAGGCGUCGACCGGCGCACGGGUGAGUAACGCGUAUCCAACCUGCCCACCACUUGGGGAUAACCUUGCGAAAGUAAGACUAAUACCCAAUGACGUCCAUAGAAGACAUCUGACAUGGAUUAAAGAUUUAUCGGUGAUGGAUGGGGAUGCGUCUGAUUAGCUUGUUGGCGGGGUAACGGCCCACCAAGGCCACGAUCAGUAGGGGUUAUGAGAGGAAGGUCCCCCACAUUGGAACUGAGACACGGUCCAAACUCCUACGGGAGGCAGCAGUGAGGAAUAUGGGUCAAUGGGCGAGAGCCUGAACCAGCCAAGUAGCGUGCAGGAUGACGGCCCUAUGGGUUGUAAACUGCUUUUAUAAGGGAAUAAAGUGAGUCUCGUGAGGCUUUUUGCAUGUACCUUAUGAAUAAGGACCGGCUAAUUCCGUGCCAGCAGCCGCCGUAA
rnacentral:rRNA from 1 species